ACUUUCCAUUUCUAAACUGUAAAUAAAGUUUAAUAAUUUUUAUAUAUAGUAUUUUGCUUGUGACUUUGUAUUUUUUUUUUGCUGUUAACAACAUAAAAAAAUAAAAGAUCAAAUACCAAUAUAAAGGAAUAUAGACAUUCGGGAGGAGAAUAAAGAUACUAAAUAACUAGUAAUGUCUUGAAAUUUAGUUAAUAGAAUGAUUUUUAUUUCCUUUAUAAGUAUUUAACUAAUUUAAUGUUUUAAUACAUAUUUCAAUAGCAUUUAUAAUAACUUGCUAAAUGUUUUAAAAAAAUAAUAAAUAACCAACUUGCUACAAAAACAGAUUGAUCGAUUUUGGGUAUAUUCUAAAGACCAUUAUGUAUAUAAAUACAGUGUUUACAAGAAUAAUUACAGUAUAAAGGUUGCACUUGCUGAUAAUAAAGCAUUUAUAAGUGUUAAAAUCAGAGAUAUCAGUUGUAAAAUAGGUCAUUUUUAAAAAAAACCCAAAUAUAUUUUGGGUUUUUUUGGGUUUUGUUGGGUUUUUUUAAGGUGGGUUUUUUUGGGUUUUUUUGGGUUGGGUUUUUUUUGCCAACCCUGUUAUUUGCUCUCUAUAUGCUUACAAAUAAUUUAUUAAAAAAAAUUAUGUAUUUUUUUAAUAAACCGAUUUAUUUCAAUCAAUUAUUUGACUUUUUAUAUUUUUCAAGGAAUUUUUAUAGUAUAUUAAAUUGCGUUUUUUUUUUUUUUUUUUUUUUUUUUUGUAUGGUGAAAACUAUGUUCAAUGUGCAAGCUAUAUUUUAGUUUAUCAAAAUAUAUUUUUAUUGAUGUGUUCUGUCUCUGAUUCUUUCUUUUUCAGAUGCGCACUUGUGCCUAAGGCUUAUGCUUUAUAAAUGGUUUACCAUUGUACUUAAGUUGCUGUGGGUUUUACUUUCAACCUGGCAUAUAAAUGCACUUAGUAUCUGAAGUUAUUUGUCAAUAACUGGUGAUCAGACUAUUUCAAUCAAAUAAGUUUUUAAAGGCUUAAAAGGUGAAAGUUAGAAGUCUGGAGACUGCAACGUAAAUCAAUUUUCAACACAUGAUUUCCUGAAUAAAUUUAGUUUUCGAUUGAAAUGAGAAUAAACUGAACUUAUAGAUAUGUUGAAAAUUAACUAUUUUAUAUUUUAAGCGUUCGCUAAACGCAAGUGAAGCAAUAAUCUAUAGAUGCAAAUAUAAUUUAUAUUUUGCUUUAGUUUAAAAAAAAAUUAUUGUUACUUUUAUAUUCAUGUUGUAAUUGUAAAUUGCAAUUUUAAAAUAAUUUUUAUUAU